AAAGAACAUAUUCCCAGAUCGAGGAUGUCAUUAAGGCUAUUGCAAAAUUCUUUAUCUUAAUCCGAAACAAAACAAGGAGAAUUACAAAUUAAUAAACCAUUAGAAAAGUUCACAGCUUCCAAUUAUCCUCUCAAUUGACGUAAUUUUGCGAUCUAUCACACCCGUUUCAAAGGUCAGAAAAACAAAUCCUGGACAUUGAACUCGAAAGAAGGCCAUGAUCAUCAACCCAUUUACUAUGUAAUCGCAGCAAAGAUAUAAAAAUGAUCAUCAAAUGAAAUAGAUCAAAAUCCAC